GCUGGGUGUGGUGGUGAGCGCCUGUAAUCCUAGCUACUUGGGAAGCUGAGGCAGGAGAAUUGCUUGAACCAGGGAGUCGGAGGUUGCAGUGAGCCAAGAUCAUGCCACUGCACUCCAGCCUGGGUGACAGAGCAAGACUCUGUCUCAA
rnacentral:SRP_RNA from 1 species